CGCACAUUGCGCCCUCUGGUACUCCGGGGGGCAUGCCUGCUCGAGCGUCAUUGAAAACAUUCAGGCGUUGGCUUGGUUUUUGGGUUCUCGUCCGCAAAGACGUACCCGAAAAAUAUUGGCAGUCCGGUGCGACUUCAAGCGUAGUAAUAUGUCCCGCUCUGAAAGGUUGGCACCGAGCUUGCCACCCAACCCCCUCUUGAUAGUCUCUAUGGGGAUUGACCUCGGAUCAGGUAGGAAUACCCGCUGAACUUAA
rnacentral:misc_RNA from 1 species